UACGUAGGGUGCAAGCGUUAAUCGGAAUUACUGGGCGUAAAGGGCGCGUAGGCGGCCUUCUAAGUCGGACGUGAAAUCCCUCGGCUUAACCGAGGAACUGCGUCCGAUACUGAAAGGCUUGAAUCCGGGAGAGGGAUGUGGAAUUCCAGGUGUAGCGGUGAAAUGCGUAGAUAUCUGGAGGAACACCGGUGGCGAAGGCGGCAUCCUGGACCGGCAUUGACGCUGAGGCGCGAAAGCUAGGGGAGCAAACGGG
rnacentral:rRNA from 1 species